rnacentral:lncRNA from 1 species
UAUGAGGUACAUCUGUAUAUGUCUAGAGGUCUUGGUGCAUGCCUGGAUGUCAAAACUACUUACAGACAGUUCUUGGAGUUAUCCUGAAAAUGAAGAAUGCUGGAUACCAUUUAGUUAGUUCUUAUUACAUAUCAGGAAUUAUUUUAGGUGCUUUCUAUACAUACAUUUUUGUAGAGCCACACAAGAAAGUAGGUAUUUUUAAUCUCCAUUUAUAAUGAGGAAGAAUCUGAUUAAGAAUCAGAUAAGUCAAAUAAUUUUCCCAAAUUCUCAUAGCUAGUAAGUGUCAGAAUCAGAGCCCAAAGCCACCUAGUGUGAGGAUAUCCUUGUUGUGUGGCCUUGUCUAUCAGCCCGGGGAGGAUAUUCAAUUAGAUCAGCUCCUGUGAUUUUUCUUAGGUCACCUGAAGUAGGUAGAGUUUGCCUCUGAACCAAUAGGGAUUUUUUUUUUCAGCCUUUGUCUUUGGGGCAAAGUUUCAGGCAAAAACUUAGGCUUCAAUUAGGAGAUCAAUAAUACCAUCAGGCAUUUGCUCUUAGCAUGGAUGCCUCCCUCUUCCUGGCGUCCAUUUCAGCUUCCUGACCUUCUGUUUUGCCUCUUUAACUGGAGAAGGCUGAGGAGCUAGGGAAGCUCAGGGACUCCACUCUGGGAGAGUUCCAUCCUCAGAGGAGGAGCUUCUCCAACCCAGGAGGCUGUGCCUCAGGAGAAGCUGGCCCUUCCAACGAUGUUCUCUUAGCGCAGGGACUAUGGAGGGACCUGUGUCAUGCCAGAGUGGAGAAGAGUGUGGCAGAAGCUAGUUAACUCCAGCUCCAAGUGGGGAUUAGCUUCCAUACAGACAAAAUCUGUGGUUGGGAUGCUCCCUUCCUCCUCCCUCCCUUUCUCCUCCACCAAGUGCAAGGGUUUGCACCAUUUGUAUCAACUCAUCAGUGCCCAGCACUGGGCUUUGUAUUGUGGGUAAAAUAGAUGAAGAAUUUUAAUGACAGGGUCCCUGUUUGCAAUUUUAUCCAGUGUGUUUUCUUUCUCCCUCCUAAAAGGAUAGGAUCUUUUACAGACAAAGAGAAAUUAUUAAGGAUUUUGUAAGCCCACUCAGUAGUUAUCGUUGCUUAAUAACCCUGCUCUAAGAUGCUGAGUUUUGUGGAUGAUAACUGAUCUCAUUCUUUAAAUAUUUCUGAGUUCUAAAUCAGCUGAGAAUAUACAAGAGUCAGACAGACGAAUACCAAAAUGCCAUUUUUACUAGGAAUUAAGCUGAAUUCAACUAAGUGGUUGAGACAGAUAGCCACAAUUAGCCCUUCCAUUAUCUUGGAAGAAUUAUGGUUUGGAGUGUAGACAUGCCCAAUCUCAGUGUCAGGAAAGUGGUGCCAAAGAAAGGGAAAAGAAGAGAGACCACAAUAUGCUUAGUUGUUAAUACACCAAGUCCGUCUAAGUAAAGGCCCAUGAAGGGCCAGGACCAAGCCAGGGAGAAAGGCUGGACGUAUUACUCAGUGGACAUCUCAGCACGAAAGCAUGAAGCAAGGGGAAUGGCAGUUACUCUCUGGGGUAGGGAAAUUCUCUAGUUGCUCAACUUCAGUUAACUUGGAAAGUAAUUCUUCAAAAGAUACAUUAAUAAUUUGAGAGAUCAGAAAGAACAUUACUAUCUCCAUGUUGACUGGAUAAACAAGACAUCCACCUAUUAAAAGUAGGGAAGAACACCUACCACACACAAAGAUGUGAAAGUCUGAGUUCCUGUUCCUAAGGCUGGUCCGAUGGAGAAGAGGAUGAGAUGCCCCAUACUGGUGAUGGAAAUCACAGGUCACCAUCAACACACAGAGCUCCAUGUCACCCAAAGCACCUAGAACAGCUGCUUGCAUCUAGUAAGCACUUGGAAGCAAAUGCAUGUUGAAAUAAAUUGUGGAAUUAAUAUUAGAUUUUGGCUUAAAAUAAAGCAGCACUCAUCUUCCACGAGAAGGGCACAUCCAACCCAAUCUCUUGUUCCUUCUCCAAGUCCAGCAGUAUCAGAGUUGACACUUUGGAGAAUGAUCCUCCUUUGAGAUCCUUCAGAGUCAAAGGAAGAGUCGGUGGAGUCUACUGUCCUCAAGGCAAGGCCAUGGAAUAUUAGAGCAGCGUGGUGCUUUAAAGAUCACAUAGUCCAACAGAUUUGAAAACUGAGGCUCUGAGAAGGAAAUCAAAUUGGCCCAGGGGCCCCUGCUGGAUGGUGAAAGAGUCAGUGUUGAAUCUCUUUCUGUUACACAAUGAGAUCAGCUCAUAAAUAUAUAUAAAAAAAAUUCAACCUGAGUUAGGAGCAAAAAUAUUUUCUGGCUAUUAAAAUAUUAAACUCACCAGAAUGUGUCAUUCCUUCAAUUAUUUAAGCUAUUCAAAAGUAUACUGUUUUAACAUUUUUUAUUCUAGAUACUAACACUAAAGCUAAGAAUUAGCUCUAGCACAUUAUUUACUGACUACACAUGUUCAGACACACCUAGGACCAAACGUGUCCCCCAGGCAUCAUGACCAGUUAAGUAAAAGCUUGAGGACUGCGGGUCUGAUCCUCUCCCCACUACAAUAGGAUUAGAAAGUCCUUAACUUCUCUUCCUACUAUUGGAACCAGAUUUGCUCUCUCACCACAGAAGCCCUUUUAGGAACAGCCGUGGGCCUGUGGGCCUUAUCAUUUAUCACUUGUUUCAAGGGCUUAAACUUUGAUCUGGGGAUAAUUUGGUAUGUUUGAAAGAGGAAUAAGCCUUUUGUCUAAUCUAGGGAAUAAAGUACAGAAUCCAGCAGCUGGAAGUCUUGGGUUUAUUUUUCUUAGGCAAACCCAUGAAUUUAUCAUCAUUUCCGGGAGAAACAAAGAAGGGGUUCCAGGAAGCCAUUCCCAGCCGUUGGGUACUUAUUUAAAGAAAAGAGGAAGAAAGAGAGAAAGAAAAAUAGCCUCUCAGGCUGAAGAAGUGCUGGAGACCCAGAUCCCAGCAGAUGAGAAGAAACAGGCUUUCUUCAACGUCAGCCUGUGGCAGGGAUUUGAUAACUUUCUUCUCCCAGCUCCCUGAACCUGACCUGAAUGGUCUGCUCUGGGUAAUCUGAAUAAACUCUCUUGAGGUUCUAUAGGGUCCUAAUUUAGUGUGAGGGAGGAGAAGAUAGGUUGUCAGAUUGACAUCUGUUGCUGUUCUGAGUAGGGUUUGAGGAGUCUAAGUCUUGGGAGACUGAGAAACACACGGACUCCAGCUCCAUUCAGAAGCUGCAUGGAUUUAUUUAGACACACUGGAAUACUGACUUUUCUUGAACUUUAAAGGUCAGAUGAACUCAGUAUCUAAAAUUGAGUUCUGGCAAAAAUGAUAUUUCAUCAUAUCUAUUAUUACAGUUUCUUAUAAAUGUAAUUCCCUUUUGAAUUGGUAGAUUACUUUUAUGCUAGUAACACGAUGUUUCAAAGCACUGUUUUACCCAUUUCUUCAAAUGUUGCUGAUUUAAAAUACCUAUUAUAUAGAUCAAACAUUAGGUUUUAAGCCUUGGGUGCUAUGCCUGCUGUGAGUUUAAAACUGCUUUUGGAGAAUUCUGCUUCUACUUCAAGUGGACUUUCUCCCUUUUAUGACCUUAAAGGCUGAGUACUAGAUGUGAUAUAAGUGAACUGAAGGAACAGGGCCCAGGUUUAUCAUCAUUAUUGUAUUGCUUUAUUCUGUCUGUUUUUGUUACAUUUUCACAAAGUAUUUUGAAAUGCACCUACUGUAAGAAGGGAGGCUAUUCGGGACAUUUGAUUUUCUAUUUUUUUUAUUUAUUUUUAUUUUUUGUCUUUCUUUUUUUGUUUUUUUUUUAUUGUUUAUUAUUAUUAUACUUUAAGUUUUAG